rnacentral:rRNA from 1 species
UACGUAGGGUGCAAGCGUUAAUCGGAAUUACUGGGCGUAAAGCGUGCGCAGGCGGUUCUAUAAGACAGAUGUGAAAUCCCCGGGCUCAACCUGGGAACUGCAUUUGUGACUGUAGAGCUGGAGUACGGUAGAGGGGGAUGGAAUUCCGCGUGUAGCAGUGAAAUGAGUAGAUAUGCGGAGGAACACCGAUGGCGAAGGCAAUCCCCUGGACCUGUACUGACGCUCAUGCACGAAAGCGUGGGGAGCAAACAGG